GACGAUCACGGCGGCGACGACGACGACAACAACAACAACAAUAACAACAAAAACAAGAACAACAACAACAAGGACGACAACGAGGACGAUAACGAUGACGGCAUCGACGACUACCACAAAGAAAAUGACGACAGCCACAACAACAACAAUUACAACAACAACGACCACAACAACAACAACAACAACAACAACAAAAACAACGACGACGACGACGACGACAACAACAAUGAUGAAAAGAACGACAAUGACGAGAACAACA
rnacentral:lncRNA from 1 species